GGUUACCUCAGUCAGUAGAGCAUGAGAAUCUUAAUUUCAGGGUUGUGGGUUUGAGCCCCACGCUGGGCCA